rnacentral:rRNA from 1 species
GGGGGAUAUUGCACAAUGGGGGAAACCCUGAUGCAGCGACGCCGCGUGAGUGAAGAAGUAUUUCGGUAUGUAAAGCUCUAUCGGCAGGGAAGAAAAAAAUGACAGUACCUGACUAAGAAGCCCCGGCUAACUAC